AACAUAUAAUAUUUCAAACAUGGCGCAUCUACGAACCCAUCACGCCGACUAGUCGGGUGGAUUGAUAAGCACAUUCGGAAUCAUUUAUCGGCAAUCAAAUAGUGUGGAGAUCGAAGAUUUGACAAACGCUUUCAAGUUUGGCUUCAAGCAAGAGGGAUAACUUAAACUGAAAGUAUUUUUUUCGUAAAGUUUGUUUUAUCUCAAUAAUCUUAAACAAUAGUUUGCACAAGUUGUAAAAGCGUUUAAAUUUUUUCUUCAGAAUUUACUUUAACAUA
rnacentral:sRNA from 1 species